rnacentral:rRNA from 1 species
UGAGGUGCUUGCACCUUAUCUUAGCGGCGGACGGGUGAGUAAUGCUUAGGAAUCUGCCUAUUAGUGGGGGACAACAUUCCGAAAGGAAUGCUAAUACCGCAUACGUCCUACGGGAGAAAGCAGGGGAUCUUCGGACCUUGCGCUAAUAGAUGAGCCUAAGUCGGAUUAGCUAGUUGGUGGGGUAAAGGCCUACCAAGGCGACGAUCUGUAGCGGGUCUGAGAGGAUGAUCCGCCACACUGGGACUGAGACACGGCCCAGACUCCUACGGGAGGCAGCAGUGGGGAAUAUUGGACAAUGGGGGGAACCCUGAUCCAGCCAUGCCGCGUGUGUGAAGAAGGCCUUAUGGUUGUAAAGCACUUUAAGCGAGGAGGAGGCUACUGAGACUAAUACUCUUGGAUAGUGGACGUUACUCGCAGAAUAAGCACCGGCUAACUCUGUGCCAGCAGCCGCGGUAAUACAGAGGGUGCGAGCGUUAAUCGGAUUUACUGGGCGUAAAGCGUGCGUAGGCGGCUUUUUAAGUCGGAUGUGAAAUCCCCGAGCUUAACUUGGGAAUUGCAUUCGAUACUGGGAAGCUAGAGUAUGGGAGAGGAUGGUAGAAUUCCAGGUGUAGCGGUGAAAUGCGUAGAGAUCUGGAGGAAUACCGAUGGCGAAGGCAGCCAUCUGGCCUAAUACUGACGCUGAGGUACGAAAGCAUGGGGAGCAAACAGGAUUAGAUACCCUGGUAGUCCAUGCCGUAAACGAUGUCUACU